rnacentral:rRNA from 1 species
AACGAACGCUGGCGGCAUGCCUAACACAUGCAAGUCGAACGAGACCUUCGGGUCUAGUGGCGCACGGGUGCGUAACGCGUGGGAACCUGCCCUUAGGUUCGGAAUAACUCCCCGAAAGGGGUGCUAAUACCGGAUAAUGUCUUCGGACCAAAGAUUUAUCGCCUUUGGAUGGGCCCGCGUUGGAUUAGCUAGUUGGUAGGGUAAAAGCCUACCAAGGCGACGAUCCAUAGCUGGUCUGAGCGGAUGAUCAGCCACACUGGGACUGAGACACGGCCCAGACUCCUACGGGAGGCAGCAGUGGGGAAUAUUGGACAAUGGGCGAAAGACUGAGCCAUCAAUGCCGCGUGAGUGAUGAAGGCCUUAGGGUUGUAAAGCUCUUUUACCCGGGAUGAUAAUGACAGUACCGGGAGAAUAAGCGCCGGCUAACUCCGUG